rfam:Lucilia cuprina strain LS Scaffold49, whole genome shotgun sequence.
AAAAAGGUCCUUUUAAGGGCCAUAAAAUGUCAAAAAGAGAAAAACAU